rnacentral:rRNA from 1 species
ACUCCUACGGGAGGCAGCAGUGGGAAUAUUGGACAAUGGGCGAAAGCCUGAUCCAGCAAUGCCGCGUGAGUGAUGAAGGCCCUAGGGUUGUAAAGCUCUUUCGGCGGGGAAGAUGAUGACGGUACCCGCAGAAGAAGCCCCGGCUAACUUCGUGCCAGCAGCCGCGGUAAUACGAAGGGGCUAGCGUUGUUCGGAAUUACUGGGCGUAAAGGGCGCGUAGGCGGCGCGUUAAGUCAGGUGUGAAAGCCCCGGGCUCAACCCGGGAUGUGCAUUUGAUACUGACGUGCUUGAAUCCGGAAGAGGAUGACGGAAUUCCCAGUGUAGAGGUGAAAUUCAUUGAUAUUGGGAAGAACACCAGUGGCGAAGGCGGUCAUCUGGUCCGGUAUUGACGCUGAGGCGCGAAAGCGUGGGGAGCAAACAGGAUUAGAAACCCUGGUAGGCUCUGC